CUAGAAAGUAAUGUAGGAGAAUGCAUUGAAUGCAGAUUGUCUGGUUGAUUGAAACACAUAGGGGGGAAAGUAGUCAACAGUGAGACAGCAGGAACAGUAACAACAUUUCUACUGAGAAAAGUGAAACAAACAACACGUGGUAACACACUGUGACAGCACUCUCGCCUAGCAAAGUCGGAUGAUCAGAAUUUGCCUUUUACAUGAAUAAAUAUGAACAUGUGAAAAUAAACGGAUUUAUACAAACCAAA